AGACCUCUAGGUAUUGCUUUUUGCCCUCACAGAGAGAAAGCGGUUCACUGAGUGAGGUUUUGAGCCUGAGCCUCCACAACUCUAACCACUCUGCUUGGGCUUUCUAAUCGCCAGACUGACCUUAGACGACCAGGGGGCAUUUGAAGGAUGGUCUCCAUGAAUGACUUUGGAGCACUAGGUCAAUAGAGGUACUGCUCUGCCUGCUAAAACAAGGGCUGGGGGAUGUAUAUUGAGAUGGGCAACCAGUGGUUUUCUGUUUUUUUUUCUCAGACUUCAACUCCCAGCACAGCAAAUAAUCAGGGAUGCUGGAAAUUACUGUCCAAGAACAUCUGGAGGUUCACUCCUUCCCCAUGACUUAUGUUUAGGCAUCAUCACAGAACCACUUGGUUUCACAGGAAAUUUUAAGUUGGAUUUCUUGAACUCCUCAGAGAUCCCAAGUAUCACUGGCCAUCCAGUAUGCGAAGAAAGACAGGACGUCUGUAUUAAACAAACCAACUCUGGAGCUCGCCUCAUCGCAUUUUCUGAAGCCAGAUCUGGACCUCAGUCCAGUUGCUAGCACCAACUGCAGUGAGCCCACUGAAUCAAAGGCAUUGCCCUAUCAUUUUCCCAGCAAGAUAAACGGUCGUGAGUUCAAGGCAACACUUGUGUUUCCACCCCACCUCCAGGCCACCUGGCUAGAGCCACAGAUGUGCCAUUCAGCUGCAGUAAUGCUGUUGAUGGGAGAGGGCAGCCUGCCUCUUGUGUUACCAUCCCCAGUAAAUUAUCUGAGGAGCAAGACUGAUGGAACUGGAGACUGGAGGGAUGGGAGCUGGGUCUGUCAGCUAGCAGCAGCUGAUGAAAAGCAGGACAAAGAAACAGUGUGUGCUCACAGAGGGGGGAGUGAUGGAGUUUUUGUGGUGAAUCACAUUUUGACAUUACACAUUAUACUGUAAUUGCCCUGAGAUGCAUGUUUUCUUUCCAAGUUGGGGGUGAAGGAGCCC